UGGUUCUCGCAUCGAUGAAGAACGCAGCGAAAUGCGAUAAGUAGUGUGAAUUGCAGAAUUCAGUGAAUCAUCGAAUCUUUGAACGCACAUUGCGCCUCCUGGUAUUCCGGGAGGCAUGCCUGUUCGAGCGUCAUUAAAUACCACUCAAGCUCUUCUGCUUGGUCAUGGAAGAAGAGUAUGCUUGCAUCCUCUCUUCUGAAAUCGAAUGGCGGACUGCCUCAUGUGCCUCGCGUAGUAAGUUCAUCUUUUCGCUUGGAGCAUGAGAUAGUCUCGCCAUCAACCCCCAUACUUCUAAGGUUGACCUCGGAUCAGGUAGGGAUACCCGCUGA
rnacentral:misc_RNA from 1 species